GUAAAUAAUUAAGGGCGUAUGGUGGAUGCCUAGGCUCUCAGAGGCGAUGAAGGACGUGAUAAGCUGCGAAAAGCUCCGUUUAGGUGCAAAUAACCUUUGAUGCGGAGAUCUCCGAAUGGGAUAACCCAAUAUGUUGAAGACAUAUUAUACCGUAAGGUAGGCAAACGCAGGGAACUGAAACAUCUAAGUACCUGCAGGAGAAGAAAACAAACGUGAUUCCCCCAGUAGCGGCGAGCGACCGGGGAAAAGCCCAAACCGUUAUUGUUUCGGCAGUAGCGGGGUAGUAGGACUGCGACAUUGAUGAAAUAAAUGAAAUGGAACACCUUGGAAAAUGUGAUCACAGAGGGUGAUAAUCCCGUACAUGCAAGUUUAUGAAUCAUAGCAGACUCCUGAGUAAGUCGGGACACGUGUAAUCCUGACCGAAUCCGCCGGGACCAUCCGGCAAGGCUAAAUACUCCUGAGAGACCGAUAGUGAACCAGUACCGUGAGGGAAAGGUGAAAAGCACUUCGAACAGAAGAGUGAAAUAGUCCCUGAACCCAUACGCCUACAAGCAGUCGGAGCCGCUUCGUGCGGUGACGGCGUGCCUUUUGCAUAAUGAGCCUACGAGUUACUCAUCACCAGCGAGGUUAAGUACUUCAGGUACGUAAGCCGAAGCGAAAGCGAGUCUGAAUAGGGCGUCAAGUUGGUGGUGGUAGACGCGAAACCUUAGUGAUCUACCCAUGGGCAGGGUGAAGGUUUGGUAACACAAACUGGAGGCCCGAACCGGUAAACGUUGAAAAGUUUUCGGAUGACCUGUGGGUAGGGGUGAAAGGCCAAUCAAACUGGGAAAUAGCUCGUACUCUCCGAAAUGCAUUUAGGUGCAGCCUCUGUUGUUUUGUUCUAGAGGUAGAGCUACUGAUUGGAUGCGAGGGCUUCACCGCCUAUCAAAUCCGGCCAAACUCCGAAUGCUAGAACAUGAAGACAGGGAGUGAGCCAGCGGGUGCUAAGGUCCGUUGACGAAAGAGGGAGAACUCAGACCAUCAGCUAAGGUCCCCAAUUGUAUGCUAAGUUGGAAUUAAAACGGGGUGGGACUGCUUAGACAGCUAGGAUGUUGGCUUGGAAGCAGCCAUUCAUUUAAAGAGUGCGUAACAGCUCACUAGUCGAGCGGUCCUGCAUGGAUAAUACGCGGGCAUAAGCAUAUAACCGAAGCUAUGGGAUUGUAGAUGAUACAAUCGGUAGGAGAGCAUUCCAUUCAGCAUAGAAGCAGUACCGUGAGGUAUUGUGGAGCGGAUGGAAAAGCAAAUGUAGGCAUAAGUAACGAUAAUGCGGGUGAGAACCCCGCACGCCGAAAGAUCAAGGAUUCCCCGGCAAUGUCAAUCAUCCGGGGGUAAGUCGGAUCCUAAGGGUAAGCCGAGUGGCGAUCCCGAUGGCAAACAGGUUAAUAUUCCUGUACUGAUCAUAACUGCGAUGCAGCGACGCAGAGGUGACACUGCUGCGUACUGACGGAAUAGUACGUUGAAACCCGUAUUCUUUGAUACCGGUAGUGAAGCACGCCGGUAGAGAUGAAAGGUGAUAGUACCGCAAUGCUUCGGUUGCGCGGAUAACGCAGGUAAGCUGACUGCCAAGAAAACCUGCUAAGCUUCAGGUAAUGAUCAUCCGUACUGUAAACGGACACACGUGAUCAGGUAGAAAAUACUAAGGCGCUCGAGAGAUUCAUGGUUAAGGAACUAGGCAAAAUGGUCCUGUAACUUCGGGAUAAAGGACGCUCUUGUGAAAGAGCCGCAGAUAAUAGGCCCAGGCGACUGUUUACCAAAAACACAUGGCUAUGCUAAUUCGCAAGAAGAUGUAUAUGGCCUGACACCUGCCCGGUGCCGGAAGGUUAAGAGGAGAGCUCAGAGGCAACUCGAAGGUUUGAAUUGAAGCCCCGGUAAACGGCGGCCGUAACUAUAACGGUCCUAAGGUAGCGAAAUUCCUUGUCGGGUAAGUUC
rnacentral:rRNA from 1 species